rnacentral:rRNA from 1 species
UGGGGAAUUUUGCACAAUGGGGGAAACCCUGAUGCAGCGACGCCGCGUGAUUUAGAAGGCCUUCGGGUUGUAAAAAUCUUUUGUAUGGGAAGAAAAUGACAGUACCAUACGAAUAAGGACCGGCUAAUUACGUGCCAGCAGCCGCGGUAAUACGUAGGGUGCGAGCGUUGUCCGGAAUUACUGGGCGUAAAGAGCUCGUAGGCGGUUUGCCACGUCGUCUGUGAAAUCCUAGGGCUUAACCCUGGACGUGCAGGCGAUACGGGCUGACUUGAGUACUACAGGGGAGACUGGAAUUUCUGGUGUAGCGAUGGAAUGCACAGAUAUCAGGAAGAACACCGAUGGCGAAGGCAGGUCUCUGGGUAGUAACUGACGCUGAGGAGCGAAAGCAUGGGUAGCGAACAGG